GCAUUGGUGGUUCAGUGGUAGAAUUCUCGCCUUACAUGCGAGAGACUCGGGUUUGAUUCCUGGCCAACGCA